rnacentral:lncRNA from 1 species
CGCCAAAUUAGGCGCUUCGUUUGUAAAUCGAGAAGAAAUACGGGAUAAGUUCCGAAAAAUUCCGAAAAAUCCUAAAUAUUCCGGAAAUUCUCCGAUUUGAAAAAGUUCCGGGAAAUUCUCCGAAAUUCGAAAAAAGUUCCGAAUCCGGAGAAUUCUCCGGGAAACGGGAGCCCUGCGAGGAUCUAGAAACUUCUAUGAGCACUGAGUGAUAAGCCUAAAUAGGCUGUGGUGCAUGGAAAUAUAAACAGGAGGACCCAAUCGUCGGUUUAGUUCACUACACCCUCUGCCAGGCAGCGCUGAUGUCAGCGCUAACUGGAGUUGGGGGUCCUUAUUUAUUCUUUUGGUCCAUGCUUUUGGUCCGAUGAUCCGCGUCCGCGUUCCGCGUACAACGUUGAGGAAUUUUCAGGAUGCAACUUGAUGGUGAAGGAGCCGUUAGCCGUUACCUCGUUGUUACAGCCAGAGACGAUGUUGGUCUAUUUUUCAAGUCUCUCUUCAAAUGCAGCCUCAAAAAUAAAUGUUUUUGAAGGGCUUCCUGCACUCCAGCUUGCUCCCUCCUUCUGGAUUUCUUACAUUCUGGAUUAAGAAAGCGGCUACUAUUCUAUGACAUGGCUGUCAGUUUCUCAUCUGAGCAGUCAUCCGAUAGGAAAUUAGCAGCGACUAAAAAUCAUCUGGUUUUGAGAAAUUCACCAUGAAUUGCCUCAAAGCAACAUCAUCAAAAGAAGUUGAAGUGUAUUCAGAGAAAAUAAACAUAAGUAGCAGCUAUUGUUUUCCUAAAAAUUUUAUGUCCGACCGGAAAAUUUUUAAAAAAUUUAAAGUGGUGUGAAGUUCGAUUAGUUACCUUUAAUAUGCAUUGCUCUAAUCUAAAGGAGAUAAUAAAUUAAAGUGAAAGUGUUGUGUUCAAAGUAUCAUGAAUAGCAUCAUUGGUGUUUUUCUUCAGGUUUUAUUUUGAUGAAGGAUCAGUUGAAUUUGGUGAGUCAUAUCUAUUAUAUUUUCCUUUUGCAUGCUAUUUUGCCACAGGAAACUGUCAAUAAAUUAAAUAAAAUUACCUAAUGCCCUUGUAAUUGAAUCAAUUCUGCAUUUUUUCCCUUCGGUUUGUUGGCUUAAUGAGUCUGAAGGAUGUAGGUACGAAUUUAUUCUGAGAAAUAAGCCUGAAACGGGUGGUGUAUAUCACCCUGUUAAAUUUCACCAUAAAGUAUUGCAGCUAACAGGCCUCAUUCCGACAUUAAAGCUGCAGUAAUAUUAAGAAAAAGAAGAUAAGGAAGGAGCAAAUGGAACUUUUCAGCUCUGAAGUGAUGUAAGCUUCAAUUGAUAAUCAAUGCAUGAAUAAAUCGUCACCUUUCGGCCAAAGUAUCACAAGAUCCAUGUGAUGUUCAAAAAUUUCCGCCGCCAUUUGAUUUUUUUACAUAGAAAUUGUUCGACAAAGCUGUCGAAAAAUUUCACUAAAUUUUCUUAGUGCUGCUGAUAAAAAUCAGUGAAAUGUUCAAACAGAUUCAACGA